AGAGUUUGAUCCUGGCUCAGGACGAACGCUGGCGGCGUGCUUAACACAUGCAAGUCGAGCGGUAAGGCCCUUCGGGGUACACGAGCGGCGAACGGGUGAGUAACACGUGGGUGACCUGCCUCUAGCUCUGGGAUAAGCCUGGGAAACUGGGUCUAAUACUGGAUAUGACCUCAUGAUGCAUGUUGUGGGGUGGAAAGUUUUGGCGGCUAGGGAUGGGCCCGCGGCCUAUCAGCUUGUUGGUGGGGUGAUGGCCUACCAAGGCGACGACGGGUAGCCGGCCUGAGAGGGCGACCGGCCACACUGGGACUGAGACACGGCCCAGACUCCUACGGGAGGCAGCAGUGGGGAAUCUUGCGCAAUGGGCGAAAGCCUGACGCAGCGACGCCGCGUGAGGGAUGACGGCCUUCGGGUUGUAAACCUCUUUCAGCCCUGACGAAGCGUAAGUGACGGUAGGGGCAGAAGAAGCACCGGCCAACUACGUGCCAGCAGCCGCGGUAAUACGUAGGGUGCAAGCGUUGUCCGGAAUUAUUGGGCGUAAAGAGCUCGUAGGCGGUCUGUCGCGUCGGCUGUGAAAACUCGGGGCUCAACUUCGAGCUUGCAGUCGAUACGGGCAGGCUAGAGUUCGGCAGGGGAGACUGGAAUUCCUGGUGUAGCGGUGAAAUGCGCAGAUAUCAGGAGGAACACCGGUGGCGAAGGCGGGUCUCUGGGCCGAUACUGACGCUGAGGAGCGAAAGCGUGGGGAGCGAACAGGAUUAGAUACCCUGGUAGUCC
rnacentral:rRNA from 1 species